rnacentral:rRNA from 1 species
UACGUAGGGCGCGAGCGUUGUCCGGAUUUAUUGGGCGUAAAGAGCGUGUAGGCGGCCAGGUAGGUCCGUUGUGAAACUGGAGGCUUAACCUCCAGCUGUCGAUGGAAACCAUCUGGCUAGAGUCCGGAAGAGGAGAGUGGAAUUCCUGGUGUAGCGGUGAAAUGCGCAGAUAUCAGGAAGAACACCCGUGGCGAAGGCGGCUCUCUGGGACGGUACUGACGCUGAGACGCGAAAGCGUGGGAGCGAACAGG